rnacentral:rRNA from 1 species
GAAGGUGGCCUGUGAGGGUUGCUGGAGGUAUCAGAAGUGCGAAUGCUGACAUAAGUAACGAUAAAGCGGGUGAAAAGCCCGCUCGCCGGAAGACCAAGGGUUCCUGUCCAACGUUAAUCGGGGCAGGGUGAGUCGACCCCUAAGGCGAGGCCGAAAGGCGUAGUCGAUGGGAAACGGGUUAAUAUUCCCGUACUUGGUGUUACUGCGAAGGGGGGACGGAGAAGGCUAUGUUGGCCGGGCGACGGUUGUCCCGGUUUAAGCGUGUAGGUGUGUGUUCCAGGUAAAUCCGGUUCACUUUAACACUGAGGCGUGACGACGAGGCACUACGGUGCUGAAGCAACAAAUGCCCUGCUUCCAGGAAAAGCCUCUAAGCAUCAGGUAACAUCAAAUCGUACCCCAAACCGACACAGGUGGUCAGGUAGAGAAUACCAAGGCGCUUGAGAGAACUCGGGUGAAGGAACUAGGCAAAAUGGUGCCGUAACUUCGGGAGAAGGCACGCUGACACGUAGGUGAAGUGAUUUACUCAUGGAGCUGAAGUCAGUCGAAGAUACCAGCUGGCUGCAACUGUUUAUUAAAAACACAGCACUGUGCAAACACGAAAGUGGACGUAUACGGUGUGACGCCUGCCCGGUGCCGGAAGGUUAAUUGAUGGGGUCAGCGCAAGCGAAGCUCCUGAUCGAAGCCCCGGUAAACGGCGGCCGUAACUAUAACGGUCCUAAGGUAGCGAAAUUCCUUGUCGGGUAAGUUCCGACCUGCACGAAUGGCGUAAUGAUGGCCAGGCUGUCUCCACCCGAGACUCAGUGAAAUUGAACUCGCUGUGAAGAUGCAGUGUACCCGCGGCAAGACGGAAAGACCCCGUGAACCUUUACUAUAGCUUGACACUGAACAUUGAGCCUUGAUGUGUAGGAUAGGUGGGAGGCUUUGAAGUGUGGACGCCAGUCUGCAUGGAGCCGACCUUGAAAUACCACCCUUUAAUGUUUGAUGUUCUAACGUGGACCCGUGAUCCGGGUUGCGGACAGUGUCUGGUGGGUAGUUUGACUGGGGCGGUCUCCUCCUAAAGAGUAACGGAGGAGCACGAAGGUUGGCUAAUCCUGGUCGGACAUCAGGAGGUUAGUGCAAUGGCAUAAGCCAGCUUGACUGCGAGCGUGACGGCGCGAGCAGGUGCGAAAGCAGGUCAUAGUGAUCCGGUGGUUCUGAAUGGAAGGGCCAUCGCUCAACGGAUAAAAGGUACUCCGGGGAUAACAGGCUGAUACCGCCCAAGAGUUCAUAUCGACGGCGGUGUUUGGCACCUCGAUGUCGGCUCAUCACAUCCUGGGGCUGAAGUAGGUCCCAAGGGUAUGGCUGUUCGCCAUUUAAAGUGGUACGCGAGCUGGGUUUAGAACGUCGUGAGACAGUUCGGUCCCUAUCUGCCGUGGGCGCUGGAGAACUGAGGGGGGCUGCUCCUAGUACGAGAGGACCGGAGUGGACGCAUCACUGGUGUUCGGGUUGUCAUGCCAAUGGCACUGCCCGGUAGCUAAAUGCGGAAGAGAUAAGUGCUGAAAGCAUCUAAGCACGAAACUUGCCCCGAGAUGAGUUCUCCCUGAGACUUUAAGUCUCCUGAAGGAACGUUGAAGACGACGACGUUGAUAGGCCGGGUGUGUAAGCGCAGCGAUGCGUUGAGCUAACCGGUACUAAUGAACCGUGAGGCUUAACCUUACAACGCCGAAG